AGAGAGAGACAUGCGCGCAUAUCAAUAAGCGGAGGAAAAGAAACUAACAAGGAUUCCCCUAGUAACGGCGAGUGAAGCGGGAAGAGCUCAAAUUUGAAAUCUUCAAGGUUCUACCUUGACGAAUUGUAGUUUAUAGAAGUGUUUUCUGUUAGUGGAGUGGCAAAAGUUCUUUGGAAUAGGACAUCAUAGAGGGUGAGAAUCCCGUAUUUGGUCAUUCCUCCUAGCGUUGUGAUACACUUUCAACGAGUCGGAUUGUUUGGGAAUGCAGUCCAAGAUGGGUGGUAAAUUUCAUCUAAAGCUAAAUAUUGGCGAGAGACCGAUAGCGAACAAGUACCGUGAGGGAAAGAUGAAAAGAACUUUGAAAAGAGAGUUAAACAGUACGUGAAAUUGUCAAAAGGGAAGCGUUUGACACCAGUGUUGUUUUUCCGAAAAUCAAUUACGAAUGUUUUAUUUUUGAGGAGUUAUGACUUUAUCGGCUUGCUCCUUUCUUUAUGAAACUUUCUUAAUGCACUUUUCGGUUAACAAGUCAACAUCAAUUUCUUUUGUUGUAAAAGGGUAUGAGGAAGGUGGCAUUCUUUUCGGAGAAAGUGUUUAUAGCCUCGUGCCUCUGCAAUCGGAGAGAUUGAGGUCUGCAGCGUAGAUCCUUCGGGGUUAGAUACGUUUGUGCUAAGUUAUAGCUUUUCAUAGACAACUUGUUGACUAUGUUUAGUCUUGUAGCUUACUCGCUGACGCUAUUUUACCUACGCUUAGGAUGUUGAUAGUCACAGCGUGUAC
rnacentral:rRNA from 1 species